rnacentral:rRNA from 1 species
GAUGAACGCUAGCGGCAGGCCUAAUACAUGCAAGUCGAACGGGAUCUGAGGGUAGCUUGCUACCCGAUUUGAGAGUGGCGCACGGGUGCGUAACGCGUGAGCAACCUACCCAUAUCAGGGGGAUAGCCCGAAGAAAUUCGGAUUAACACCGCAUAAUAAUACGCUAACACAUGUUAAUGUAUUUAAAUAUUUAUAGGAUAUGGAUGGGCUCGCGUGACAUUAGCUAGUUGGUAAGGUAACGGCUUACCAAGGCGACGAUGUCUAGGGGCUCUGAGAGGAGAAUCCCCCACACUGGUACUGAGACACGGACCAGACUCCUACGGGAGGCAGCAGUAAGGAAUAUUGGUCAAUGGGCGCAAGCCUGAACCAGCCAUGCCGCGUGCGGGAUGACUGCCCUAUGGGUUGUAAACUGCUUUUGUUAGGGGAUAAACCUACUUAUGUAUAAGUAGCUGAAUGUACCUAAAGAAUAAGGAUCGGCUAACUCCGUGCCAGCCGCCGCGGUAA